UUUAUUUAGCAGUGGCAGUAUCAUAGCCAGUGAGGUUUAUCCGAGGCACGAUUAUUGCUAAUUGAAAAAUUUCCCCAAAAAUA
rnacentral:snRNA from 1 species